CUGCAUGGCUGUCGUCAGCUCGGUGUCGUGAGAUGUUGGGUUAAGUCCCGCAACGAGCGCAACCCUUGCCUUUAGUUGCCAGCAGUUCGGCUGGGCACUCUAAAGGGACUGCCGGUGUUAAACCGGAGGAAGUGGGGAUGACGUCAAGUCCUCAUGGCCUUUAUGACCAGGGCUACACACGUACUACAAUGGCCGAUACAAAGGGCAGCGACACUGCGAGGUGAAGCCAAUCCCGUAAAAUCGGUCUCAGUCCGGAUUGGAGUCUGCAACUCGACUCCAUGAAGUUGGAAUCGCUAGUAAUCGUGGAUCAGCAUGCCACGGUGAAUACGUUCCCGGGCCUU
rnacentral:rRNA from 1 species